GGCGUUACUACGAUCAACUUAUACGUACCUUGUCCCAAGUAUCGUAGCGAUACGUCGUCUCUUUCGUCUUCUCCUUGGUCAUGACCGUGAAAAAAUUUUUACUCAAUUCGCAAUAGACGCUCGAUGCGAACGGUAGAAAAGAACGGUUUUCCUGUUGUUUUUUUCGCUAAUCGAACUAAUUAUAGAUAACAAUAACAGUAACAACACUCGCUAAAAAUGUUUACCUCCGUGAGGUUAGCGUACUGCUUUUCAGUGAUUGUAAUCGUAGCUGGUCAUGUGCAACAAACACCCGGGAAGCAGAUUAACAGAGGGAAAAAUUUCUUCGGAUUAUUCGGCAAUAAGCCACCGCAAACGGACGACCCUCCAGAAAAAUGCUUUUGCAGCUGUGGCGUACGAAACGAGGAGAGCCGA
rnacentral:misc_RNA from 1 species